rnacentral:rRNA from 1 species
UACGUAGGGCGCAAGCGUUGUCCGGAAUUAUUGGGCGUAAAGAGCUCGUAGGCGGUUUGUCGCGUCUGCUGUGAAAACCUAAGGCUCAACCUUGGGCUUGCAGUGGGUACGGGCAGACUAGAGUGCGGUAGGGGUGACUGGAAUUCCUGGUGUAGCGGUGGAAUGCGCAGAUAUCAGGAGGAACACCGAUGGCGAAGGCAGGUCACUGGGCCGCAACUGACGCUGAGAAGCGAAAGCAUGGGGAGCGAACAGG